GGGGGGGGGUGUUCGGGUGGAGUCAGAUAAAGAGUAACAGCAGACGUCAGUCAGUGUCUCUGUUGGUUUUGACACUCAGCCAUGUCUCACGCAUGGGGAUACGGAGCGGCUAACGGUCCACACAAAUGGGCAGAAGAUUUUCCAGUAGCUAAUGGAUCUAGACAGUCUCCCAUCAACAUUGUCACCAGUGACACCCUCUAUGACCCCACUCUGAAGCCUGUGAAAUUGACCUUUGACCCCUCCACUUGCACUGGUAUUUUAAACAAUGGACACUCAAUCCAGGUGGAUUUUGAAGAUGACAC